CACAAGAAGUAUUUUUACAUCACGUUUGUUGCUCGGCAUCUGUCCCUCGCUCUGCACCGAGAGUUUAUCAGUGAUCCCGCGAUCUGAUCUCAGAGAUGAAUCGGUGCGAUAUGCAAAUAAGCUUCAUGCAAAUCAGAUACGAGUGGGUGCUGCGAGCGUGAGAAAGAGGAGUCCCUGAUGGCCAGGAGACCGGAGGCCAGAAGGUGUCCGCUCACUUUGCUGUGCCACUCCUGCGACCGGCCCCUGGAAGAUGACAGAAAGAGAACAAGAUCUUUCAGCAAAGAAAAGAGGUGCGUGAGUCGGGUCUUCCUGGCUCCGGUGGGCUCCAGCAGGUAGAGGCAGGAGUAGACGUGGGCCCUAACCCCCUCCGACAGCACCUCAGGGUGCUCCGUGGACACAGAGGACAGGUACAGGGGGCCGGCGGACGGGUCUGCCUGCCAGGUCCUGAGACGAGAAGAGAUUAUCGGGACGGAGAAUCCAAAUGUGACACAUUAAUGUGACUGCUGACAAUAAUCUGAUCACAACCACACACUAGCAGCUGAUUAUUAGGGCUGGCUAUCGUUUAAAAAAAUUCGGUACAGAUACUUUGAUACCGGUUCCCUAAACGAUACUU